GACGAACGCUGGCGGCGUGCUUAACACAUGCAAGUCGAGCGGUAAGGCCCUUUCGGGGGUACACGAGCGGCGAACGGGUGAGUAACACGUGGGUGACCUGCCCUCAGCUCUGGGAUAAGCCUGGGGAAACUGGGUCUAAUACUGGAUAUGACUCCACGGUGCAUGUCGUGGGGUGGAAAGCCUUGUGCGGCUGAGGAUGGGCCCGCGGCCUAUCAGCUUGUUGGUGGGGUGAUGGCCUACCAAGGCGACGACGGGUAGCCGGCCUGAGAGGGCGACCGGCCACACUGGGACUGAGACACGGCCCAGACUCCUACGGGAGGCAGCAGUGGGGAAUCUUGCGCAAUGGGCGAAAGCCUGACGCAGCGACGCCGCGUGAGGGAUGACGGCCU
rnacentral:rRNA from 1 species